rnacentral:rRNA from 1 species
UACGUAGGUGGCAAGCGUUGUCCGGAUUUACUGGGCGUAAAGAGCGCGCAGGCGGUCGUUCAAGUCGCGUGUGAAAGCCCCCGGCUCAACUGGGGAGGGUCACGCGAUACUGAUCGACUCGAAGGCAGGAGAGGGUAGUGGAAUUCCCGGUGUAGUGGUGAAAUGCGUAGAUAAUCGGGAGAACACCAGUGGCGAAGGCGGAGCUACCUGGCCGUGUCGUGACGCUGAGGUGCGAAAGCUGAGGGGAGCAAACAGGGGAUUAA